rnacentral:rRNA from 1 species
GCCCGCGCCCCGUAAAACGGGACGGCCCGCCAGAGGACCCAAACUCUAAUGUUUCUUAUUGUAACUUCUGAGUAAAACAAACAAAUAAAUCAAAACUUUCAACAACGGAUCUCUUGGUUCUGGCAUCGAUGAAGAACGCAGCAAAAUGCGAUAAGUAAUGUGAAUUGCAGAAUUCAGUGAAUCAUCGAAUCUUUGAACGCACAUUGCGCCCGCUGGUAUUCCGGCGGGCAUGCCUGUUCGAGCGUCAUUUCAACCCUCAAGCCCCCGGGUUUGGUGUUGGGGAUCGGCUCUGCCUCACGGCGGUGCCGCCCCCGAAAUACAUUGGCGGUCUCGCUGCAGCCUCCAUUGCGUAGUAGCUAACACCUCGCAACUGGAACGCGGCGCGGCCAUGCCGUAAAACCCCAACUUCUGAAUGUUGACCUCGGAUCAGGUAGGAAUACCCGCUGAACUUAAGCAUAUCAAAGGGCGGGAGGGGAGAAUUUCCGCAGGGUCACUGUACGGGACAAUCCCGGCAGGUUUC